CCGUGCGUCCUCGGUGCGAACCGGGGCUCCGACCGGGGGUGUUUUUUACGCUUCACGAAGAAAACGUGGGACGAGUAGCUUGUCGGAACAAUCUUCCGCAACCUUUGCGAGACACGGAUUCCGGUGUCGGAGAGGACAUGGAGUGACGGAGAGCGGGAGAAAGGGGCUUUUUCGGAGGACGGCGUGCUCCGCUGAAACCCAACAUGGCGCUGCUGCGAGGUACGGCCGAGCUGAAUUAAUUUCUCCGCGAGUCCGCCGACCUCGCCACCUGUACUAUCCUUUGGGGGCCCGGGCCGUACGGCGCAUUGGCUCUCUGACUUAAAGAACCCUAACGGAUUUUCUUUGAAAUAGUGGAUUUCUUUUCUUUAUCCUGACGUUUGUUUUUUCCUCCGCGCAGGAUCUUUUUUUGCUUUAUGGAAACCCAAGUGACAUUUGCAACAGCAAAAAGUCCGUUUGAAAUAUAAGAGAAUGGAUGAUAGUUGCCUUUAGACAAUAGAUCAAAGACCCAGGGCUUUAUAUGUAAGACUGGUUCUGUUUCAUGACAAGUGGAUAACCUGUUAGACACUUUUAGUUGUUUUUUUUCUUUGGCCGGGAUUGUCUGUCUCCAGCAGACAGGACCGUAACCGGGCUAAUCUACGUACGCACGGAUCGCUGCCCUUGUAGUUAACUUGGCAAAACAGGAAAAAGGCGAGAGUUGGGGUGCGCGGAGGGCGGCUGGAACUAGCACCAAUUAACCAGGGCAACAUCUGUUCGUGAUGUCGAUGCUGAGACACGAACCAACCUGGAACUAAGACAAGGGAACCACAUCACACAAAACAUGGUGGAUGCAAGGUUGACACCCCUGGCAGCGAUGGGGCUGGACCGAGGCACUCUGAUGCAUGACGGCCUUCGCCUGCAUGGAGGGGUUGUGUAUCCAGGGAUUAGAACGCUGCCAGCAGAGAAGAGCAGAGAGGCACCUGGCCAUUCCCUCAGUUAUAACAGGGACGGUAUCCCAGAGCUCAUCUACAAGCCUGAUGGCCCUCUGGACAGUCGUAAGCCUAAUGGAUACCUGGGCCUCUACAAGGGCAUCCCUCCAAGUCUCCACAAGCCUCUGCUGAUUCCUGGAGCUGAAGGUCUAGGCUUGGAACGCAGAGUAGGGCCUGGGGAUAAAGCGUCUGAACUGGGCUUGGCAAGCGCUGGUGGCAGCUACCUUCGCCUGCCGUGGCUCAACCCCUACCCCGAGGCAAGCAUGUAUCCCUUCAUGGACACAUCCAAGUAUGCAGCUCUAAACAUGUAUAAAGCCUCCUUGCUCAGCCAACCCAACCCCUAUCUUACCCAGCACCUGGCGUACCCAUCUCUGUGUGCAGCCCAGGGGGGUAACGUUAACGCUGCUGCCGCCGAGAGGCUCUAUUACAUGCCCCCCUACCCUCCAUCUCCUAUCUCUUCUCCCCUGGUGGCACCCCCAAUGAGGAUUCCUGCAGUCACAGUGGCCCCUACGUCACUGGUGCACUGCCAGGAUAAAGGGCUCGUUGUUGCGUCUCCAUUUGCACAGCAGCUUCAUCAACCUUCCCCUCAUUCUCAGCAUCAUCAGGCAGCUAUUGACAGGGACCGGUCCCCGAGCAGGACCGGUAGACCGAGCAGACCUCCUUCUAGGACCAGCUCCAGCAACAACAAUAACAGCAGUAGUACUAGCACUAGUGGCAGCAGUGGUGGUAAUAAUAAUAGUCUACCUACUGAUUCUUCACCUCAUGCAUCUUCUCGCCACCCACAACCUCCCCCGCCUCCUUCUCUCAUUGACAAUUCACUGGAUUUACAAAGGCCAGUUGCUAGGAUAGUGCAACUUCCCACCUCCUCCUCUUCUUCAAUAUCUGUUUCAUCCUCUUCCACACAGUCUAUUCCUCAUCCAUUCUCUGUCAGCAGCAUGGCAUCAGAGCAGCCCUCUCCUGCCCGGCCCAGCCCCCACAAACCCAGGCAAAGAGAUGGGUUGCCUGAGCACAGAAACGUUGGGAUUGAGAGGAGACCCAGCAGGUCACCCUCCAAACCCAAUUUUGAUCGGCCAGCCCAAACAACCAAAGACUCAGCAGAGAAGCCCUUGGAUUUGUCUGGAAGAAUGCUGGAGUUUGGACUUCCACCAAAUGGUUUCCCAGUUAAGAUGGACAAUAUGGCAUCAGGUGCACGUUAUGGGCUGCCCCCUAGCCGGGAGCUCCUAAAGGAAAACCUGUCCCUCUCUCCCUCCUCCCACCCUCACUCUGUAGUCAGCAGCACUUCUUCAAAGGUCUCUGAGAGGUCAGAGAUGAUCAGCACUUUACACUCCUCCUGGGUAGUACCUAGUCGGUCUCCUUCCCAUACACAGCACACAACAGGCUUGCCCCCCUCUCCAAGGCCUAACACAGACUUGGGACAUUCACAAGCCAAAGGCUCCUCACCUUCUGUCAUCAAACAUAAGGGUCUGGAGAGAAUACUGCCUCAGCAACGUAGCUCAUCCUGUCCAAGGAUUGGCGAGUCCAACCAUAAUGUUCCCUCCACUCAACAGUCUGGCUCUUCUCUGGUAAGCUCCAGGGCUCUUUCUCCCAAACCCAAUGGUGAGUGGUCCAAACACAGCCCCAGCCAAUCAGAACAUCCAUCAGUCGUGAGCCACCAUAGAGAGAGAGAGGGAGCAGAAAAACCCUCCCAGGCCACCAAGAGAGGUGAAACGACUCCAGACAUGUCGUCAUACAAGAGGCCGUGUUUAGAGAAUGGUCACCCUACUGGCCACCUUUACCAUCCUCAAACUGACGUGUACCUGAACCACAGCCACAGCUUGGCCUUUGGCAAUAGAUACCUGCACUACCCCAUCCCUGAUGGCAUGGCGCUGCACUCCCUGCCAAUCACAGGGAAAGGCCAAGUCUAUCCUUUUAUCCCUAACAACCUUUACCCAAACCACUUGGCAGCAAAACAUCCUUUACCCUACCACAACCUCCAACCUGGUCCAGGAGGGGAAUACCUCACUUACAACUCACAGGAGAUGGCCCAUCCCCUGAUGCAGCCUCACUCUGAAAACAAGUUGUCAGAAAGGGGAGACGCAACCCUGAAGUCCCGGGGACAGGAGAAAUCCUGGGGAGCCGUCGAAGAAUGUGGGGGUCACAGAGAUCAAAACAUUGGGAAAGAGAUGGGCGAAGGGAGCCAUACAAAGCCUGAUAAGGAAUCAGGAGCACAAGGACAGGGUGGAAGUCAACACAAAACGCCCUCUUCCUCUGUAACACACAGAGAAAAGAUUGUCUGCAUUGACCUUGUACACUCAGACACAGAUAUUGAGUCUACCCCCACAGUCCACAAACAACCCUCUGCUGAGCCCAGCACUAAAGUUAACCAAAAAGAAUGUUGUCAUAGUAACCAAAAUCCAACAAAGACUGACUACGAGCCAAAACACCAACACCACCUUUCCCAUCCUUAUCCAGGCCACUCCGGACAGAGCCCCACCCUAAAGUCCAACCACACUGAUAGACAGCCAGAAACUCCCUUUGGGAAACCAAAGGUUCUUCAGGACACAAGUUGUCCUGGAGUGACGUCUAGCACAUCCCCAACUUCUCCAGGGGAAGUCUCCCAGGCUGAGGAGAGCCCGGAAGAACAAAGCCCCAGCCCAGACCCUGGAGACCAAGACCAAAGCACCUUGCGCUGUGCCCGUACAUCUGGGGAGCGCAGCUCUGGUAAGGACAAGGGGGACAGGGACAACCGGGCUCUUCACUUCAUGCAGCAUUACGCAGAUGCGGUGACUGAGUCAAACCAGGAAACACUGUGUGUGAGAGAGACUGAAAUGGAAGACAGUAUUGUUGACCUAGGAGAGUUCCAAGAAGAGGGGGAUGACGACGAAGAAGAUGGAAGCCAUUCAUCUAGAGGCGCUCGUAGAUCCAGCCUUGCCAAAAGGAUAGCUAAUUCCUCAGGCUACGUUGGCGACCGCUUUAAAUGUGUCACCACUGAGCUGUAUGCUGACUCCAGCAAGCUGAGCCGUGAACAGAGAGCACUGCAGAUGGAAGUCAUAUCACGAGAGGGGAGUAAUAUAAGUCAACCUGCAGCUAACUGGGAGCGGGCAAUGAUGCGGUUCUCGGAGCUAGAGCUGAAGGAGAAGGAGGGCGGCGGUGUGUAUGUGUCUGCCCCGGCAGCAGGACGGGAGCUGGCAGACGGCCAGCGCAGAGAGCCAGUGCUGGAACACUGCCAACACACCACCCGGCAGGGAGAGAGGGAGGGUGUUCGACCGGCUUACACAAACAACAGAGUUCCAGUCCUUCAGAGGUGCGUGGGCCAAAGAGAGCCUUUGUCCCCGGGGGAGGCGGCCCGAGACCGAGCCAGAAGCGUCAGCCAAGGAGGGUUAAAGGAUGGAGCCAGGAAGGUUGGGAGGGAGUCUGAAGGAGGUCAUUGCAAACCUCCCCUCCUUGACAGUGUCAAAAGUGCACCCCGAUGAGGCAGCCAGCCCUGUUUUGGACCCACCAGGAAACGUUUUGCUCUGCCCCAAGGUGGAGCAGGAGGAAGGAGAGCGGGUGUCCCACCUAGAGAAAAGAGCCAGGAUUUCUACGGAUGAGUGCGAGCAGAUCAGCGCCGAUCAAGAGGACGACGAUGAUGACGACGAGGUACGGAAGCUCAAGGUCUGCAUCGAGCUGAAGGGGCUGCGGCUAAGCAAGCCCGCCGCCGGAGCCGCUUCACCCGACUGCCA